rnacentral:rRNA from 1 species
CCUACGGGUGGCAGCAGUGAGGAAUAUUGGUCAAUGGACGCGAGUCUGAACCAGCCACGUCGCGUGAAGGAAGAAUGCUCUAUGGGUUGUAAACUUCUUUUAUAUGUGAGUAAAAUCUUCCACGUGUGGGCUUUUGUGUGUACCCUAUAAAUAAUGAUCGGCUACCUCCGUGCCAGCAGCCGCGGGCAUACGGAGGAUUCGAGCGUUAUCCGGAUUUUGUGGGGUUAAAGGCGACUGAGGUGGAGUGUGAAUGUAGUUGGUAACGAUCGCGGCGUAAACUUAAUAUUGCAGUUGAUACUGGCAGUCUAGAGUGCAGUAGAGGUGGGCGGAAUGCGUGGUGUAGCGGUGAAAUGCUUAGAUAUCACGAAGAACUCCGAUUGCGAAGGCAGUUCACUGGACUACAACUGACACUGAGGCACGAAAGUGUGGGUAUCAAACAGGAUUAGAUACCCUUGUAGUC